CAUUUGUAAGCGUCUCCCGUGA
rnacentral:siRNA from 1 species